ensembl:lncRNA
GCCCUAUGGAUUUUCCAUGCAUGCACAAAAGAUUAGAAACCAAUCUUCCAGACACAAAAAACUCCUGUUCAUUAGCAAAGCUUGGAUCGGGACUGAGAUCCCAACUCCAUGGCUCAGGACUGUUGCCAAUUCUGUCAUGUCUUUCCAUCCCUUUUCUGGACAAGAUCGAUAGCAGCCGUGCCAGUAGAAAUGAGAGUUCGGAGCUGUUUUUAGAACUCUGGUAAUUUGUGUGAAAGCAAAAGGAACAAAAAUAUUCAAACUGAAGCCUAGCUCCAUGAAAUUUCCAUCUCCAUUCUGCAGAGCUGGGGUUUGGACCAGGUUCAGCUUGAAGGUGCUUAGCACACACAUCUUACCAUCUAAUGCUGCAGCAAGACCAAGACCUGGUCCUGCUCCCUUUCAGCACAGAUUAAAUUAAAUCUGAUAUCAAUGGACGAACUCAGGAUUUUACUGUAGUUGAAGAAUUUGCUCCUUUUGGAUCCAGCUGAAACAAGAAGCAGAAAUGCUGACCUCUAAUGCAAAAGCCCAUUGCCAUGCUAUUUGGAUCAGGAAGUGCCAAAAUCUCAGAAAGAAGCCUGGAUCUUCCAUGCCAAUUAAGAGUCUCAGGAGGAUCGUAUAGUUUGGAUAACCUACAGUCAAGCGUUACAAUUUAUGGGAGCUUAUCCAAACCAAACUCUGACUCAAUAUGCUCGCCCAUCAGCAAGCAAAAUACCUCGUGGAACAAGGUGUGCUGCCAAAGCCAAGCAACCAGCACUGAGGCCUUGAAAAACAGAGACUAUUCAGUGUUACUUCCAAAUCCCAAGUCUCCUUCCGACACAGCAUUAUCCUUCUGCUAAGUGGUAGCAGAUGAGAGAGUUCUGAUCACUGCACGAACACGAGAGCAUUCCUGCCUCCAACACAUGCCCCUUCCUAAGGACCGAGGCCGUCACAGACAACUCAGCCUUUGACAAAGCAAUAAUAAAAGCCAG